UACAGAGGGGGCAAGCGUUGUCCGGAAUUACUGGGCGUAAAGGGCGCGUAGGCGGCCCGCUAAGUCGAACGUGAAAUCCCUGGGCUCAACCCAGGAACUGCGUCCGAUACUGGCAGGCUUGAAUCCGGGAGAGGGAUGUGGAAUUCCAGGUGUAGCGGUGAAAUGCGUAGAUAUCUGGAGGAACACCGGUGGCGAAGGCGGCAUCCUGGACCGGUAUUGACGCUGAUGCGCGAAAGCCAGGGGAGCAAACGGG
rnacentral:rRNA from 1 species